GACGAACGCUGGCGGCGUGCUUAACACAUGCAAGUCGAACGGAAAGGCCCUGCUUUUGUGGGGUGCUCGAGUGGCGAACGGGUGAGUAACACGUGAGUAACCUGCCCUUGACUUUGGGAUAAGUUCAGGAAACUGGGGCUAAUACCGGAUAGGAGCUCCUGCUGCAUGGUGGGGGUUGGAAAGGUUCGGCGGUUGGGGAUGGACUCGCGGCUUAUCAGCUUGUUGGUGGGGUAGUGGCUUACCAAGGCUUUGACGGGUAGCCGGCCUGAGAGGGUGACCGGCCACAUUGGGACUGAGAUACGGCCCAGACUCCUACGGGAGGCAGCAGUGGGGAAUAUUGCACAAUGGGCGGAAGCCUGAUGCAGCAACGCCGCGUGCGGGAUGACGGCCUUCGGGUUGUAAACCGCUUUCGCCUGUGACGAAGCGUGAGUGACGGUAAUGGGUAAAGAAGCACCGGCUAACUACGUG
rnacentral:rRNA from 1 species